UGUCAAUGGUAAACUGACCUGGCACACUGGUGGGUGUGUCUUAGGGAAAGCUGCUUCCCUCCCAGCUCUGUUUUAGUUAGUCCUGAACUUGGUCCGGUGUCCAAGCCCCACCUCCAGAGUCAAGUCCUGCCUCCUAUCUCAAGAUAAUCAGAAGGAGCGGAAGUCUGAAAACAACCAAUCAUCCUGGAAGAAGACCCUGAGCUUUAGAUAAGACUACAGCUCCAGCUGACACCUUGAUUUCAGCCCCAUGAGACCCUGAGCAGAGAAUCCGGUUGAGCCGUGCUUGGAUUUUGACCUAUAGAGCUGUGAGAUAAUACAUUUGUGUUGCUUUAGUUGAUGCACUUCUGUCAAUUUGUUACACAGCAAUGAGAACUGAAUAAGGGAGAAACAAAUGCUGGGUAGACAGAAGCGACGGAUGUGCAUGAGGAGCUGAGACAGACAGCUGCCUGGAAUUGAGCCUUACUUAGCCUGGAAGGUAUGACUAUGUCUGUGAAUCCUUAUUGGAAGAAGUUUUAUUGGUCAGACAUCCUGUUCCAUGUCAGCCUCUCCCUCUAGGAUCUUUUGCUUCCUGCAAGGAGUGGGGCCUGAUGGCAGCAUGGAGUAGUGGUUAAGCCCGUGGACUUUGGAAUCAGGUUUUCUGCGCUCAAGUCUUGUCACUGCGAUCUACUAGCUGUGUGACCUUGGAUGCCAGACACUGUCCUGAGCACUAUCCAUGUGUCAUCACUUAAUCUUCACGGCAGCUUAUGAGGUAGGUACUAUUAUGAUCCCCAAUUUUGGUGAUGGGAAACUGAGGCAGAGAGCUGUUAGUAACAUUUAAAGUCACACAGCUAAUAAAUGGCAGAACUGGGAUAUGAACCCAG
rnacentral:lncRNA from 10 species